rnacentral:lncRNA from 1 species
AUAAUCUCCCCCUUCACCUUAUCGGUCUCUUCUUUACAGCAAUUCAGUCAUACCAAUAACUGCUUUUUCUACCAAUAUAUUCACCUUCAUAAUCUCCAAUUGUAAUACUAUGCCCUCACAACUUUCAGCACACAAUUACCCUCAUUCCAAUCACUGGAAUUCUUCACACAGAACUGCCAUUUACAUUAUGGUGUUUCCAACAAACACAAACUCAUUCUCUCUGCUGAACUACAAUCAGAUUUUAGCAUUCAAUCUUUCUUCUUCUCAAAUAAUACCAAUCACAUUUCCAUUCCAUAAUUCACUUCACAAUAUUCAGAAACUUUCAAUCCUCUUAUUCAAAGAAAAUAACAAACAAAAGAAAAGAAGUAGCACUAACCUUAUCGUAGCUCACACUAUCACAGCAAUGGUCCUCGGCUCAUGACUCUCACAGUUUGGCAUCUUAAUUAACUUCUACAACUCCAAUAUACUUUUCUCUGAUUCUCUAGAUUCGAAUCAUAAUUCUAUAAUUAACCACUUUUAAGAAUUAAAUCACUCAUCCG